AUGCCAGGUGUUCUGACUCAACAAUCAGUACUGAAUAUAGACAGCUCACCAUGGAGCUUGCACUGGGCUGGGUUUUCCUUGUUGCUCUUUUAAAAGGUGUGCAGUGUGAGGUGCAGCUGGUGGAGUCUGGAGGAGGAUUGGUGCAGCCUGGGGGGGCCCUGAAACUCUCCUGUGCAGCCUCUGGCUUCACCUUCAGUAAUUACUACAUGAGCUGGGUCCGCCAGGCUCCAGGAAAAGGUCUUGAGUGGGUUGGUCUUAUUAGAAACAAGGGUAAUAGUUAUACAACAGAGUAUGCUACAUCUGUGAAAGGCAGAUUCACCAUCUCCAGGGAUGACUCCAAAAGCACACUGGAGCUGCAAAUGAACAGCCUGAAAGUUGAGGACACAGCCAUGUACUACUGUACAAGAGACACAGUGAGGUGACAUCAGUGUGAGCCCAGAC